CGGCUGGAAGCUUCCAUGGGCUGUGGGAGGGAAGCUGGGCGUUGUCGCUUUAAACGCAUACUCGCGGGCACACAUUGGCGCAUACCCAGGCGCGCACACUCAGGAACACACACACGCAUGCACGCACGCACACUCUCCCCCCACCCCGCCAUCUCUUCUGCGAACGAUCCCUGACUGCGGCGCAUUUGUCUGUGAGUCUGCCCGCUCCGGCUAGGCUGGCUCGCUGCUGACGCUAGCCUCCAGAUUUGCCUGCCACCCGGUUAGUCCACCCGCAGCGUUUGCGGAUCCCCUAGGGCCGGGGGCUUGGGACUCCGGGGCCGCUUUUCCAGGAUCGUGGCCACUGCAGGGGCUGCUGCGGAGGGCGGUCCGGUUUGGAUUGGGCAGGGCAGGGCAGAAGCUGGGCAGUGCGGGCAGGGCGUGAAGCCCCUGAGGGAGGAACCGCAGGGCUGGGGCUGGGGCUUGGGGCUGGAAAUAAGGCUCGAGCUGAGCUGUCUACUGGAGCCACGCGCGGGAGGGGACCCGGGCAGUGGCAGGGCUGGGGAGGGAGGCAGGAGAGGUUAGCUGGGAAGCCCAGUGGCCAGGGGGAGAGAUCAAGGACUCUGGCUGGCUGGAGGGGCCCUGAGGACACUGGGUGUUGUAGAAAGGGGCCUUAGUGCCUUCCACUCACCCUGAGGUAUGAGCUGGUCUCCAGCCAUCUCCCCCCUCAGAAUGCACGCCCUUCCUCGAUGAUGAGUACUCCUAAAAUUCUGAGCUUUCUUCAAGGCUUAGCUCAGGGGGCGCCUCCUCCAGGAAGCCUUUUCUCAUCCCCUCAGUCCUUUCUCCCUCUGCAAAUUACUUAGUUUGGCACAUACUCUAUCCCCUAGUAAAGUGUAAGGCGCCCCCCCCCCCACCAUGCCUGGGGAGGCGGGGAGGUGCAAUUCAGUGACACUCUUUGAAAGGAGGUGGAAGGUGAGGACAUAACCAACAUCUGAAAAUACCACACCAGUGAAGGCAGAAUUGCAGGCUGGAUAAUUUUUUUUUAAUUUUUUCUUUUUUAGGUUAACAUACACAUUUUGGAAACAAACACGUGAUUGGUGCUUAUAUGUUUCUGCCUAAUUAUUUUUAUGUUGCUUGUUUUUCUUGGAUGGUUAUUUGGUUAAUGAGGACUAAGGUUAGAAGAAAACAAUAAAAGAGCAGAACAAAAAGGAAAGAGAAGUCUC
rnacentral:lncRNA from 1 species